GUGCUUGCCUCAGCAGCACAUAUACCAAAACUGAAACGAUACAGAAAAGAUUAGUAUGCUCCCUGCACAGGGAUGACAUGCAAAUUCUUAAAGCAUGCCAUAUUUAA
ensembl:snRNA U6 U6 spliceosomal RNA